ACGGGAAACCGGAGACUAAUACGAUAUAUAUUAACCGCAUAGUUCAAUAGUUAAAGACGGUUUUGCUGUCACUUAUAGAUGGAUCCGCGCUGCAUUAGCUAGUUGGUAAGGUAACGGCUUACCAAGGCAACGAUGCGUAGCCGACCUGAGAGGGUGAUCGGCCACACUGGAACUGAGACACGGUCCAGACUCCUACGGGAGGCAGCAGGC
rnacentral:rRNA from 1 species